UACGGGGGGAGCAAGCGUUGUUCGGAUUUACUGGGCGUAAAGGGCGCGUAGGCGGUCAGCACAAGUCAGUUGUGAAAUCUCCGGGCUUAACUCGGAAAGGUCAACUGAUACUGUGCGACUAGAGUGCGGAAGGGGCAACUGGAAUUCUCGGUGUAGCGGUGAAAUGCGUAGAUAUCGAGAGGAACACCUGCGGCGAAGGCGGGUUGCUGGGCCGACACUGACGCUGAUGCUCGAAAGCCAGGGGAGCGAACGGG
rnacentral:rRNA from 1 species